rnacentral:tRNA from 1 species
GCCUUCGUGGUGUAGUGGUCAGCCCGCUCGACGCGUAACCGAGAGGUCAGUGGUUCGAUUCCCGACGAAGGCG